UCAUGGGAGGCACAAGAGAGUGCCGAGGGAGGGAGGUGGCAUGCCUGCCCUCCUUGCCUGAUGGCGUUCUCCGAUGUUGCUGGCUCCCCAGCGAUAAUCUGCUUUCCACCCAUAAGCCCGGCUGGGCCGUAUUGGUGUCUCUAGGAUCCUGUCCUUGCACAAGACACUGCUCCUCUCCUUCUGCCACCACAGAGGGCCUGGAUACGGGCAUCGCGAGCCUUCCUGAAGGCAGCUGGUGCCACUGCUUCGCGGUUGGCUCUCUCCGUGUCUGCUGAAGCGAACACGGCCAGUCCAACACCCAUUCGCUGCGGAACUGCCGUCUGCUGCAGAGGCUGACGCAGCUUGCGAGCGCGGACUGGAGACCGAAUUCCCCUGGGCUCAUGCAGCCUCCCGGUGUCUGUUUGCAGUGUGCUCCCCCCGUGUCCAGGCAGCUCCCCCAGGACAAAGAAGACAGACAGGCAGGAAGCAGCUCCUCAAGUCAGCCAAGUCCACCAGCACUGCGCUCCCUACUCCCGAAGCCUCUCGGAGAUUGGUGCAGGAGGUCUGGAACCUGUCCUCGCAGUGGGACCAAACAAAGAGCUCAUGGCCCUUGUACCAAAAGCGAAUACAGCAAGCCCGGGCAGAAAUGGCUGCUUGGGGAGCCUGGUCUCAGGGGGAGGACCGAGAGACACCUCAGGUCACCAGGCAACAUGAUUGGAUUCCCCAUCCCCCAGCCCAGCCCAGGAGCAAGGAGGUCGUGAGGAGGUGGAGGAAGGUUCAAUCCCUGCCGCAGAAGAGG